rnacentral:rRNA from 1 species
AGCGAACGCUGGCGGCAGGCCUAACACAUGCAAGUCGAACGAACUCUUCGGAGUUAGUGGCGGACGGGUGAGUAACACGUGGGAACGUGCCUUUUGGUUCGGAAUAACUCAGGGAAACUUGUGCUAAUACCGAAUGUGCCCUUCGGGGGAAAGAUUUAUCGCCAUUAGAGCGGCCCGCGUCUGAUUAGCUAGUUGGUGAGGUAACGGCUCACCAAGGCGACGAUCAGUAGCUGGUCUGAGAGGAUGACCAGCCACACUGGGACUGAGACACGGCCCAGACUCCUACGGGAGGCACCAGUGGGGAAUCUUGCGCAAUGGGCGAAAGCCUGACGCAGCCAUGCCGCGUGAAUGAUGAAGGUCUUAGGAUUGUAAAAUCCUUUCACCGGGGACGAUAAUGACGGUACCCGGAGAAGAAGCCCCGGCUAACUUCGUG